AGUGAACGCUGGCGGUAGGCCUAACACAUGCAAGUCGAACGGCAGCACAGUAAGAGCUUGCUCUUACGGGUGGCGAGUGGCGGACGGGUGAGGAAUACAUCGGAAUCUACUUUUUCGUGGGGGAUAACGUAGGGAAACUUACGCUAAUACCGCAUACGACCUACGGGUGAAAGCAUGGGAUCUUAGGACCUUGCGCGAUUGAAUGAGCCGAUGUCGGAUUAGCUAGUUGGCGGGGUAAAGGCCCACCAAGGCGACGAUCCGUAGCUGGUCUGAGAGGAUGAUCAGCCACACUGGAACUGAGACACGGUCCAGACUCCUACGGGAGGCAGCAGUGGGGAAUAUUGGACAAUGGGCGCAAGCCUGAUCCAGCCAUACCGCGUGGGUGAAGAAGGCCUUCGGGUUGUAAAGCCCUUUUGUUGGGAAAGAAAAGCAGCAGGUUAAUACCCCGCUGUUCUGACGGUACCCAAAGAAUAAGCACCGGCUAACUUCGUG
rnacentral:rRNA from 1 species